ACAAAGGGUCGGGCAGUCUUAAACCCAUGAUUCUCUAGAAUUGGUGCAUUUCCUGGGCGACAGAAAUUAUCAUUUCCAAACCUGAAAAAUGGAUCAGUAAUUCAUGGAGUCCUCAAGAAUCAGAACUACAAGGAUUGUAUUAGGGCUUGCAGGAAGCGAAAGAACUGGGUGGACAUGCAUAAUGGAAUGGAUUGAUUGUCAGGAAGUGAUAUGUUGGCUGAUGCGGGGAUCAAGGAAGGGAUGGCCAUGGGAACGUUUUACUUUAAGAAGCUGAUAGUGACUGAGUCCAACAAAAUUGUCAUGGCUACCUCAUAUGGUUGUCAGGUUUAAUGCAACACUAUUUAAUGUAAUUGGAGUACAUCAAUCUGUUGGGUCUCAAAUGGUUUGUGAUCUUUUCUUAGAUGCUGCCUUGAAGCAGCUAACAUUUUCAUGGUGAUCAGGGACUUGUUAAAAGGCAAACGAGAUUUACAUCUAAAUGCCCUCCCAAUGAGAUUAUCUCAAAAAUUGAAGAAGCUGCCACACCCUUGGUGUUUGGAGUGAAGUAGAAAAACUACAAGGUAUACAAUAAGUCCUCUCUUUCU